CCGACUCAUGUCCUAGUAACUUCCAAUAUUUUGCUUUAUUUCACAGUAACACGGGAGAAGAGUUCCCCGAAUCGGUGGUCUUCACAGUCGUCUUCAUGGUUAUAUCCAUUGUAGGAGCUGGCAUCGCUUCCAUCAAAUACAGGUUCAUGAUCAUUCAUUCUGAGCCAUCAGAGAAGCGACAUAUCAUCGGCCAGAGAAUCCUCUAUGCCAUGGGAUGGCUGGCAUGUAUUGGGACAGCCUUGACCGGCGCAUUUUCGAUGAAGACCAAUCCCCUCGUCCACAGGAUCAGCUCAGGAGUGGCAUUUUU